ACGCUCGACACCUACGGGAGGCAGCAGUGGGGGAUAUUGCACAAUGGGGGAAACCCUGAUGCAGCGACGCCGCGUGAAGGAAGAAGGCCUUGGUUGUAAACUUCUGUCGUACGGGACGAUAAUGACGGUACCGUACAAGAAAGCCACGGCUAACUACGUGCCAACAGCCGCGGUAAUCUGAGCGGGCUGGCAAGGC
rnacentral:rRNA from 1 species